rnacentral:rRNA from 1 species
UACGGAGGGUGCAAGCGUUGUCCGGAAUCACUGGGCGUAAAGGGCGCGUAGGCGGCGCGGGGAGUCAACGGUGAAAGCUCGGCGCUCAACGCCGAGUCGGCCGUCGAUACUCCCGUGCUCGAGCACUGUAGAGGCAGGUGGAAUUCCGGGUGUAGCGCUGGAAUGCGUAGAGAUCCGGAAGAACACCGGUGGCGAAGGCGGUCUGCUGGGCAGUUGCUGACGCUGAUGCGCGACAGCGUGGGGAGCAAACAGG